GCUACACAUGCAGUCGAGCGGAUGAAGGUAGCUUGCUACUGGAUUCAGCGGCGGACGGGUGAGUAAUGCUUAGGAAUCUGCCUAUUAGUGGGGGACAACGUUCCGAAAGGGGCGCUAAUACCGCAUACGUCCUACGGGAGAAAGCAGGGGACCUUCGGGCCUUGCGCUAAUAGAUGAGCCUAAGUCGGAUUAGCUAGUUGGUAGGGUAAAGGCCUACCAAGGCGACGAUCUGUAGCGGGUCUGAGAGGAUGAUCCGCCACACUGGGACUGAGACACGGCCCAGACUCCUACGGGAGGCAGCAGUGGGGAAUAUUGGACAAUGGGGGGAACCCUGAUCCAGCCAUGCCGCGUGUGUGAAGAAGGCCUUUUGGUUGUAAAGCACUUUAAGCGAGGAGGAGGCUACCUAGAUUAAUACUUUAGGAUAGUGGACGUUACUCGCAGAAUAAGCACCGGCUAACUCUGUGCCAGCAGCCGCGGUAAUACAGAGGGUGCGAGCGUUAAUCGGAUUUACUGGGCGUAAAGCGUGCGUAGGCGGCCAAUUAAGUCAAAUGUGAAAUCCCCGAGCUUAACUUGGGAAUUGCAUUCGAUACUGGUUGGCUAGAGUAUGGGAGAGGAUGGUAGAAUUCCAGGUGUAGCGGUGAAAUGCGUAGAGAUCUGGAGGAAUACCGAUGGCGAAGGCAGCCAUCUGGCCUAAUACUGACGCUGAGGUACGAAAGCAUGGGGAGCAAACAGGAUUAGAUACCCUGGUAGUCCAUGCCGUAAACGAUGUCUACUAGCCGUUGGGGCCCUUGAGGCUUUAGUGGCGCAGCUAACGCGAUAAGUAGACCGCCUGGGGAGUACGGUCGCAAGACUA
rnacentral:rRNA from 1 species